GCGAGGGUGGCGGAACUGGCAUACGCGCUGGACUUAGGAUCCAGUCCCUCACGGGUUGCGGGUUCAACUCCCGCCCCUCGCA
rfam:Candidatus Firestonebacteria bacterium RIFOXYA2_FTLL_40_8 rifoxya2_full_scaffold_3668, whole genome shotgun sequence.